UUGGUUUCAAAAUAUUAUUGGGCGGAAUUGUGGGCAUUGGCGUAUUAUAGGACUAUUUAUUUAGUCCCGGAUAGAUCACAGUGGGAUAUCCCGGAUGACAUCAAAGCGUUGAAGGUAUUACCUCUGCCUCGGAAAAAGAAGAAGGGUAGAACAAAAGUACUUAGGUUUCCAUCCACCGGAGAAAGACGUCCAAAACGUCAAAGGACUCAGAACAAAAGGAGGCUGAGACAGUCGUUGCAAUGGUUGUUAUUUGGCACCCAUAGUAUUUGAUUUUAAUCAUUGUAAACCUUAUUCGCGUUGUGCAACUAUGUAACACUAGAAUUUCUUUCAG
rnacentral:sRNA from 1 species